CCCAAGCGGGACGGGGCGGGGCCUCUGCCGCCGGCGCCCGCAAAGCCGCCCCCGGGCUCCUUGCUAACCCUUUCUGCCCCGCGGCUCCGCCUUUCCCCAAACUCCGGGUGAAUCGUUUACAGCUCUUCGACGUGUUCUACUCAGGCCACCUGAUUUUACAGAGGAGAAAACUGAGGCUCAGAAGAUUUAGGUGCAAAGGUCCAGCGCCUUCACCCGCCUUCCGACCCUCUCCAGUAUUCUUACCACCCCACUUUGCCUCCUUUAAAAAUACUACUAAACAUUUAUUUGCGUGGUAGACACUGUAGUAAGCUUUUUGGUGCUUAGAAAUGUUUGUAAAUACUUUUCUAAUGGCCAAAUUUAUCAGCCUUUCGUGCCUUGGAGUGUGAAGAAGUAAAAAACAUAGUCUGGCCUGGCAGGACUCACUACUUUCCACCGAGGGCUUAGAGGGAUAGCGAGAGGAACCCUGAAUCGCAGACAUUGUCAGGCUCCCUGCUGGAUGCAGUGGCGCUGCAGGAGCUUGUGGAACCAAAUUCCGCUGUGGGCUUCACCACCCCAACUAUGCAACAUUGAAGUGUAUGAUGGAUUGAAAUCCUGCCGACCUGGAGUUUUCUAAAUGGUGACUGUGGAGAGAUGCCAAGGAAACUGAAUGGUGCCAAAUGCAGAAUCCUCAAGUUGCUCUCUAAACCAACAGAAAUUCAUUUGGGAGCUGGAUUUCACUGAGGCAGGAAGUAUUUCACCUACAAAGAUAGUGCAUGUGUGGAGAUUAUAUUUGGGAUCAGGAAAUAAAGAAGAAAAGUAAAGCUACAUUGUAUUUCAGUAGACAGAAGAGAACAUUCCCUGAAGAGAAGACCAAUGACCUUCUGUGAGGGAAGAAAGAAUGCUUCAGCAAUGGUUUAUAACUACAUGUAUUUAAAAUGUUUCCUUUAGAGUAAAUUAACUGUGGAAUAAGCGCAAUGCAUUUUGAAGAUACAAACACAGAUGUAAAAAGAUCCAGAGUUAUUUCAAAUUUUAAAAUGUAUAUGUGUGUGUGUGUGUGUGUUAGUAGCUCAGUCAUGUCUGACUCUUUGU
ensembl:lncRNA